AUGAAUUGUCUAUUCUGGAAUAUUAGGGGGAUUACUACCCCAGGUAAGAAGACAUGUAUCAUUGACACUCUGGCUAGAACAAAUGCUAGUAUAGUUGCUUUUCAAGAGACCAAAAAAGAAUACUUAUCCCCUGCUUUUCUUAAAUCCAUUAGUGGUAGUAAAAACUUCCUUUGGCAUCACCUCCCUGCUGUGGGCACAUCUGGAGGGGUGUUGGUUGGUGUUGAUGUAGAUAUAUUUGAGGUUCUCCUUUGGAGUUCCUUGAAGUUCUCUGUCACCUGCAAUCUUAAAGUCAAAUCUAGUGGGGUUUGCUUUAGAUUCAUAGCUGUAUAUGGUUCCCCAUAUGAUCAAGGCAAAGAAGAUUUCAUUUCUGAACUUCAUAGCCUUUUUGUGGAUGAACAAAUGCCCACUCUUAUAGGAGGGGAUUUCAAUUUAGUUAGAUACCAGCAAGAUAAGAGCAAUGGUAACAUCAAUCACCACUGGGCAGGCAAAUUUAAUGCCUAG
rnacentral:rRNA from 1 species